rnacentral:rRNA from 1 species
CCAUUAGAUGUUCUGGGCCGCACGCGCGCUACACUGACGAAUGCAACGAGCUUAUAACCUUGGCCGAAAGGUCUGGGUAAUCUCCAAAUUUCGUCGUGAUGGGGAUAGAUUAUUGCAAUUAUUAAUCUUCAACGAGGAAUGCCUAGUAAGCGCAAGUCAUCAGCUUGCGUUGAUUACGUCCCUGCCCUUUGUACACACCGCCCGUCGCUCCUACCGAUUGAAUGGUCCGGUGAAGCGCUCGGACCGCGGCCUCUUGACGGUUCGCUGUCGAUUGGCUGUGGGAAGUUCGUUAAACCUUAUCAUUUAGAGGAAGGAGAAGUCGUAACA